rnacentral:misc_RNA from 1 species
AUGUUUGUAUUUACUACUGUUGAGCCCCAAUUGAAAUGGUUCGAAAUGUAACUCUCUGUGUCUUCCUUGUAUUUAUUCAAGUUGUUUUGGGUCUGAAGUGUAAGUCUCAUACCGGGAAACCUGUGGAUUGGUUCACCGUGUACAAGCUCCCGGAGAUCCACGAGAUUGGGAUAGACCCGCUGUCCUAUGAUGGAGUCGGCUUCUAUUACAUGGACGCCGUGACGCCGUCAUGGAAGCUCUCUUCGGUCGGGAUCAACGACACAGGGCAUUCUGUGGAGUACACGCUGAGACAAAUCUACAAAAAUACUACCAAUGAUUACAUGUACGCUAUGUACAAUGACCAGCCUCCUGAGGGACACACAUCGUUGAACCACGGCCAUACCAAAGGUGUUUUCGCUUUUGAUAAGACGGAGGGAUUCUGGCUAAUUAUGAGUAUCCCCCACUUUCCUCCCGCCAAACAUUCGGGGUUUUCCUACCCACACAGCGGGACGGUGUACGGACAGUCUAUUUUCUGCAUCAGUCUACCAUAUACAUCCAUUGAGGAUGUCGGUAAAGUGCCCUCGAGUUUUUCUUUACUUUCCUUUCAUUUAAAGUCAAAUUACGCCUAUCAAAGUAUAAAAUAAUAUGCAAAGAAUACAUUAUAAAAUAUAACAUUGUGGCUUUGUAUUUUGCUGAAGCCAUGUUUCAAAGACAUUUCAAAAGCAUUUUUGAAGUUUCUGUUAUUUCCGUUACAGCUAAAAUUAUGACGUUCACCUAUCCAAAGUUCUAUGACUUUUACCUUCCUCCAACUUUCUCAUCGGAAAAUCCUAUCAUGACCGGCAUUUUAUCCAAUCAACAGAAACACGUGACCUCGCCUCCAUUUCAACUGGAAACCACCUUUCACUCAACAGAUGGCGUUGUUCUUCAUAACUUUGCUAAAUCAAAUGAUUUUCACAAAGAUUUAUAUGAUGCAUAUUUGGCACCAAUUUUACAAGAAUCUCUGUUUGUCGAAACUUGGCAAAAUGGACCCGAUAGUGAUACGUUACCGUCAAAUUGUUCUAUCAAGUUCCAGGUAUACAACAUACAAAUGAUCCGAUUCCCUAACGGAGACUUCAAAGAGACCAAGGAUCAUUCCAAGUGGGCGGUGUCUAGAACAGGAUCAUGGAUUUGUAUUGGGGACAUUAAUAGACAGAGCACCCAGUUUCACCGCGGGGGCGGGACCAUGUGUAUGUCCGACCCACACGUCUGGAAAGAGUACACCAACAUCAUUCGGGACAUCGAGACUUGCGGACCCAUAUUUGGAUGAAUCCGAGCAUGGAAGGCAGCGAAUUGAAAUAUUUUUGUAGCAACAAUUGACUUUUUAUUAAAACUUAACAUUAUUUCCUCAGGCUGUUUUGAACCAUAAUUUUUAAUAUGCCGGGAAGAUAUUAAACUAGUUUUGUUUGAAUAGUUUGUCUACGUGAUUUUGAGGCAUUUUUAUAUUAAAACUUAACAUUAUU